CUCUUUUCCGUUUCCGUUUUUCCGUUUCCGUCAUUCCGGUUCCGCCGGUCCGUUCCGUUCCGUUUCCGCGUUUUACCCCUACCCAUGUGGUGAAUGCGCCUAGCAGUAAACGGACUUCAUAUGAAAUCUGAUAGCAAAAACGUGAUGUCAAUGAAACGCACAUGUUUAAUAUCUGUCACCUGUGAUUGCCCUUUAACCCCUGGUCUUGGCUACUGUUUAAAUAUAUAUUGCUUUUUCUCAGUGUCACUCAUGGUAAGAAUCGAUUCCUUACUGGCUCAAGGCCUUAAGCUCACAGCUCACUAGUCGCUGCGAGUAAUAACUGUGCUUGAUAUAAUUUGUGCUAUAUUUACUGUAGUUCUAUUUGCUUUUAUGCCCGCAGCAAUCCCUACCUUGCAGGUACCCUAGUCAUAGUCGUAUAAUGCAUGGUGUGCGUUUUACAAAACUUCCCUGUGUUCCCCGCUGAGGGGCCAUCCCGGCUUCCAUAUAUAAAC